UACGAAGGGGGCUAGCGUUGCUCGGAAUUACUGGGCGUAAAGCGCACGUAGGCGGGUUUUUAAGUCAGGGGUGAAAUCCUGGAGCUCAACUCCAGAACUGCCUUUGAUACUGAAGAUCUUGAGUCCGGGAGAGGUGAGUGGAACUGCGAGUGUAGAGGUGAAAUUCGUAGAUAUUCGCAAGAACACCAGUGGCGAAGGCGGCUCACUGGCCCGGUACUGACGCUGAGGCACGAAAGCGUGGGGAGCAA
rnacentral:rRNA from 1 species